UCAGUCGACUCCUACGGGGAGGCAGCAGUGGGGAAUAUUGCACAAUGGGGGAAACCCUGAUGCAGCCAUGCCGCGUGUGUGAAGAAGGCCUUCGGGUUGUAAAGCACUUUCAGUAGGGAGGAAGGUAGUGUAGUUAACACCUGCACUAUUUGACGUUACCUACAGAAGAAGCACCGGCUAACUCCGUGCCAGCAGCCGCGGUAAUACGGAGGGUGCGAGCGUUAAUCGGAAUUACUGGGCGUAAAGCGCAUGCAGGCGGCCUGUUAAGUCAGAUGUGAAAGCCCGGGGCUUAACCUCGGAAUUGCAUUUGAAACUGGCAGGCUAGAGUCUUGUAGAGGGGGGUAGGAAUUUCAGGUGUAGCGGUGAAAUGCGUAGAGAUCUGAAGGAAUACCAGUGGCGAAGGCGGCCCCCCUGGACAAAGACUGACGCUCAGAUGCGAAAGCGUGGGGAGCAAACAGGAUUAGAUACCCUGGUAG
rnacentral:rRNA from 1 species